AGGAAUACAAGAGGAAAAAGACAACAGUACAACUGCACUUGGAUGAAGGGCUCUGAAUACAAUCAGGUCUGAAAGGACAGCACCAAGGCUUGUUUGUAUCUGGAGCCAUUCCACCUGCUGUAGUUCUGGGAGCUAUCAAGUUAAUUUAGGACUCCAAUACCCAACUUAAAUUGAAAUCGAGAAGAUGCUGAAGAGUUCCAAAGACUCUUAUCCUGUUCUCAAAACUGACAGAAAAACCAGUGCAACACUGUCAGAUGAUAUUAAUGCAAGCACUUUUCACUUUUUUCCUCUUCUGAGGAACAGUAAUCAGAAAUGAGCACUAGCACAGAAACGAGCACUGGUGUCUCCAGGUAAUUCACACAGUGACUGAGCAUAUAGCAGAACUACGCCCUUUAAUAGAAGGAAUUUGAUCCUCCCUAAGAGAAGCGGUUGCAGAUUGCUCAGUUACAUGGUGGGGAGGAUGCUUGUGGCCUUUGUUUCCCUAAACGUCCUCCUUAACACCAGAUAUGCUGACAAAAAACCAUCUGCUGGUUUCCUCUGACAGAUUUAGCAGUAGAGCCUAAUCGAUACGAGUCAGAGCAGUUUUUAGGAAUUGUGGUUACUCUAACCUGAGCAGAAGCGGGCAGUCCAAUGCAAUUGGAUUUUGUGUUCAUGUGAUGUCUAUUCUAAGGGUGUAGCAUUAGGAAAUGUGGGAAAACAUGGAUUUUUUUUUUAGCUGCAAGAAAUCCUUUAUUCUGAAAAUAAUUUAACCAGCUGUGCUAGGAGAAAUUGAUCAUCUCCUGUAUGCAGGGAAGUUUUAGAGGGUUGAUACAGAUACAUGGAAAUUUUACUGUGAAUACAAAAUCAUGGCACGGGAUCCUGUUAAUUUGAGUUAAUCUUUUCUUUUUUGGGGGAGAACGAAGUGAGUACUUAAAAUCGGCAUUUUUGAUUCAGAUUUCAAUCAAAAUGAUUAUUGGGUGCUUUCUGGUUCUCCCUUAAUAUCCCUGCCCUCAAAUUAAAACAUACUGAAAGCAUCAAGCAUUCUCUUUCCUUCUCCCCUCCUCAUCUACAUUCAUACAAUGAAGUUCCACAGAUUUGUUUCAAAAAUACGAUCUCCCUAACCUCCUUGAACUCCCUGACUAUGUUUUUUAAUACUUUUCAUAAAAUGCCAUUGAGAUACAGCCCCAUCCAUCCCCUGGACGAUGCAUGAAGGAGAAAAAAAGAUAACUAGCUAACUUCAAGAAAACCUCUCUGCCUUUCACAUCUUUGUUCUUCUGAUGGAUAUUUAAUAUUGAGUUUGAAUUGAUCUAACAAAGUGCAACUUUAACUCCCCAAAACUCUUACCAGUGAAUAAUCUUAUUAAGAAAAAAUGAAGAGCAAGUGCAUCGUCAAGUGUAGGAGUAAAGAACUUCUGGGGUCUCCAAGAGAAGUGAAACAAACUUACUUAUAAAGUUAUACUGAACGUGUAGUUCUUUGCCCUUCUACCAGUUUGUUUGUUUUUGUUUUUACCAAGCAAGCUUUCAAGAGCCUCAGAAACAAAGAAAAGUUUCUUAAAUACCACUUUAACUGUUGGACACCA